GUGCCAGCAGCCGCGGUAAAACGUAGGUGGCGAGCGUUAUCCGGAUUUACUGGGCGUAAAGGGUGUGCAGGCGGGGGGUCAAGUGGUGUAUGAAAUCGCCCGGCUUAACCGGGCGGGGUUAUGCCAGACUGGCCUUCUGGAGUGCGAGAGAGGGGCGUGGAAUUCCGGGUGUAGUGGUGAAAUGCGUAGAGAUCCGGAGGAACCCCAGAGGCGAAGGCGGCGCCCUGGCUCGCAACUGACGCUCAGACACGACAGCAUGGGGAGCGAACGGGAUUAGAAACCCCCGUAGUCC
rnacentral:rRNA from 1 species